AUUGAACGCUGGCGGCAGGCCUAACACAUGCAAGUCGAACGAGUGGCGGACUGGUGAGUAGUGUCUGGGAACCUGCCCGAUGGAGGGGGAUAACUACUGGAAACGGUAGCUAAUACCGCAUACCAUCGGAUUUGCCCAGAUGGGAUUAGCUAGUCGGUGGGGUAACGGCUCACCUAGGCGACGAUCCCUAGCUGGUCUGAGAGGCUGACCGGCCACACUGGGACUGAGACACGGUCCAGACGCCUACGGGAGGCAGCAGUGGGGAAUAUUGCGCAAUGGGCGCAAGCCUGAUGCAGCCAUGCCGCGUGAAUGAAGAAGGCCUUCGGGUUGUAAAGUACUUUCAGCGAGGAGGCGGUACUCGCAGAAGAAGCAACGGCUAACUCCGUGCCAGCAGCCGCGGUAAUAC
rnacentral:rRNA from 1 species